rnacentral:rRNA from 1 species
AGGAUGAAGGUUUAAGGAUUGUAAACUCCUUUUGUUAGAGAAGAUAAUGACGGUAUCUAACGAAUAAGCACCGGCUAACUCCGUGCCAGCAGCCGCGGUAAUACGGAGGGUGCAAGCGUUACUCGGAAUCACUGGGCGUAAAGAGCGCGUAGGCGGGAUAGUCAGUCAGGUGUGAAAUCCUAUGGCUUAACCAUAGAACUGCAUUUGAAACUACUAUUCUAGAGUGUGGGAGAGGUAGGUGGAAUUCUUGGUGUAGGGGUAAAAUCCGUAGAGAUCAAGAGGAAUACUCAUUGCGAAGGCGACCUGCUGGAACAUUAC